rnacentral:rRNA from 1 species
CGCAAUGGACGAAAGUCUGACGGAGCAACGCCGCGUGUAUGAAGAAGGUUUUCGGAUCGUAAAGUACUGUUGUUAGAGAAGAACAAGGAUAAGAGUAACUGCUUGUCCCUUGACGGUAUCUAACCAGAAAGCCACGGCUAACUACGUGCCAGCAGCCGCGGUAAUACGUAGGUGGCAAGCGUUGUCCGGAUUUAUUGGGCGUAAAGCGCGCGCAGGCGGUCUUUUAAG